UACGUAGGGUGCGAGCGUUAAUCGGAAUUACUGGGCGUAAAGCGUGCGCAGGCGGUUAUGUAAGACAGAUGUGAAUGCCGGCGUUAACCUGGGAACUGCAUUUGUGACUGCAUGGCUAGAGUUUGGCAGAGGGGGGUGAGAAUUCCACGUGUAGCAGUGAAAUGCGUAGAGAUGUGGAGGAACACCGAUGGCGAAGGCAGCCCCCCUGGGUCAAGAUUGACGCUCAUGCACGAAAGCGUGGGGAGCAAACGAAGG
rnacentral:rRNA from 1 species